rnacentral:rRNA from 1 species
UACGUAGGGUGCAAGCGUUAAUCGGAAUUACUGGGCGUAAAGCGUGCGCAGGUGGUUUUACAAGUCUGCUGUCAAAGCGCGAAGCUCAACUUCGUAUAGGCAGUGGAAACUGUAAGACUUGAGUGUGAUAGGGGCAGAGGGAAUUCCUGGUGUAGCGGUGAAAUGCGCAGAUAUCAGGAAGAACACCCGUGGCUAAGGCGGCUCUCUAGUACGGUACUGACGCUGAGACGCGAAAGCGUGGGGAGCGAACAGG